ensembl:lncRNA
UUUUCUGAGCCUGGUAUUUCUGUUUGACUCUAUCCUAUCUCAAAGCAUGCUGUGUGUGUCUGAGAUGGUGGUAGAGAGGUACGUCUCACCACAAGAUGCAGGGGAACUGCCUUGAUUUCAUCCUCCCACAAUAUCCCACAUUCUGAUAUUAAGCCACAGAACCCUCCUUGAAAGACACAUGUGAUGACUCAAAGGAUGAGCGUUCACCACAGAAACACAAAGGAAGAUGGUGAGAGAUGCUUAUAUUGUUACUCCUAAACUUCAUGCUCUGCUGUUUCUUUCAAACUAUUCAUGCUGAAACACUUUCACGAGCGAUACAAAGCCUUGCUCAAAAGCGAAAGGUUUACCAUUUUCUACUGGUAACUGAAUAAACUGAUCUUCCUCUAACAUAAUGCUAGAAAACUGCACUAUUUUAUCAGAGUUUUGAGUAUCCAUUACAAAAAUCUUACACCAACUUAGCUGCAGUUUCCCCCCAUCCCUCCUAUACUUUCCCCAUAGAGUAAUCUGGGAAUAUACACAAAUGCAGACCUGCUUUGAAGGACCUUCCGUUGUAGGAAAAAGGCACAUCCUAUAUUUUACUGAUACAAACAUCCUCCACAAUUUUUGACUACAGAUUACUGAACCUCAAGAUAUCAUUUGACAAGCCCCACAUUUUCCAGCUCUCAACCACUAGGGAUUAAACCUAGAUGAGAUCCUCAGACUGCCUUGAAACACCUGUUUAAAAGAGCUCAAUAGAUUCUACCAUGAUUUGAAAGUCAGGCUGUGUUCUGUAAAUUAGGAUGAUGUUUUGACUUCUAAAAGGCAUAUGACUUCCAAAGAAUCUACCUCUGAUAUUCUUCCAACAGAGAUAUGCUAGAUCAAUUUGUUUAAUAACUUCAUUUUGAAAACUACAGUGUAUGUUCUUUGAAUAUAGCUCUCCAGCCAGAAUUAAUGAAACACUGCGUUACACAGAGCUCAUGCAAUCUGGCAGAUAAAUCUCUAGUCCUACAGAGGUUUACUGCAAGAACUGCAGUGACUUCACCAGGGUGAGGAUUUCACCUGAUGUGCUGUAAAAUAAUGGAAUACUCUCCAUUAUACUGCAGCACACUUAAAGACUAUGUCCUCUGUAUCACUGUCCUUGAGAGAUCUUUAUCACAAUAAUCUAAAUAUGAAAACUCUCACUGGUUAAACUGUUGAACCCAAGUAGUGUUAGGAUUUCAUAACAGAGAAGGUAGAAUUUUGUUGUUGUUCCUGGUAACAAUACGUACUCAGCAGCUCUAGAACAGAUUAGACUGCAAGAUGUCAUCCAGGGACACCAUCCCUAUUCUGAAGCAUUUACUGUAAAAGUUAGCAAUGGACAUCUUGUCUCAGAAGAAUUUCUGCUGUUAUCUAUCAAUACAUUAUUAUGAUACAUGACAUUGGGCUAUGUUUUUAUAUUUAAUAAGUGUACCGUAUGUUGUCUUGGGACAUGGGACAUAGCAUUUGUUGGAUACAAUUUAUGGUUCAUUACUUGUAAAGAAUCAUCAAUAAAACUACUGCCAGU